rnacentral:lncRNA from 1 species
CUGAUCAGUUUGUGACUACACUUAGAGAUCAAUGAAGUAGAUCCCACCAACAGUAGAGGGUGGAGGUCAUACACUCUCACCCUCUCUCUAUAGCAGCAGCGCCACAUUUUGUUUAAAAAGAAAUGUUUUCCUAUGAUGUGUCCCAUCUCAUUAAUGCUUGCUCUUCUUUUUCUUUAAUAGUUGUCAACCAGAGUUGUUGUUACUUCAGAAUUGGUGCA